rnacentral:tRNA from 1 species
UGAGACUUAGUUAAAUUAUAAUCUUAGUCUGUCUAACUAAAGUUGGAGGUGAAAAUCCUGUAGUCUUAA